rnacentral:rRNA from 1 species
CCUACGGGUGGCAGCAGUGGGGAAUAUUGGGCAAUGGGCGCAAGCCUGACCCAGCAACGCCGCGUGAAGGAAGAAGGCUUUCGGGUUGUAAACUUCUUUUCUCAGGGACGAAGCAAGUGACGGUCCCUGAGGACUACGCCACGGCUAACUACGUGCCAGCAGCCGCGGUAAUACGUAGGUGGCAAGCGUUAUCCGGAUUUACUGGGUGUAAAGGGCGUGUAGGCGGGACUGCAAGUCAGAUGUGAAAACCACGGGCUCAACCUGUGGCCCGCAUUUGAAACUGUAGUUCUUGAGUACUGGAGAGGCAGACGGAAUUCCUAGGGUAGCGGUGAAAUGCGUAGAUAGUAGGAGGAACACCAGUGGCGAAGGCGGUCUGCGGGACAGCAACUGACGCUGAGGCGCGAAAGCGUGGGGAGCAAACAGGAUUAGAUACCCGAGUAGUC